rnacentral:rRNA from 1 species
GACAGAGGGGGCAAGCGUUGCUCGGAAUUACUGGGCGUAAAGGGCGCGUAGGCGGGAUGGCAAGUCGGUCGUGAAAUCCCUCGGCUCAACUGAGGAGCGUCGAUCGAAACUGCCGUUCUUGAGGGUUGCAGAGGAGACUGGAAUUCCCGGUGUAGCGGUGAAAUGUGUAGAGAUCGGGAGGAACACCGGUGGCGAAGGCGGGUCUCUGGGCAACUCCUGACGCUGAGGCGCGAAAGCUAGGGGAGCAAACGGG